CUGGCUCAGGAUGAACGCUAGCGAUAGGCUUAACACAUGCAAGUCGAGGGGCAGCACGGUGUAGCAAUACACUGGUGGCGACCGGCGUACGGGUGCGUAACACGUAUGCAACCUACCCGCUAUUGGGGGAUAACCCGGGCGAAAGUCGGACUAAUAUCCCAUAUUAUCUUACCGGGCAUCCGGUGAGUCUGAAAGAUUUAUCGAUUGCGGAUGGGCAUGCGGAUGAUUAGCUAGUAGGUGGGGUAACGGCUCACCUAGGCGACGAUCAUUAGGGGUUCUGAGAGGAAGGUCCCCCACACUGGAACUGAGACACGGUCCAGACUCCUACGGGAGGCAGCAGUGAGGAAUAUUGGUCAAUGGGCGCUAGCCUGAACCAGCCAAGUCGCGUGAAGGAUGACAGAAUCUAUGGUUUGUAAACUUCUUUUGCAGGGGAGUAAAGUGCGACACGUGUGUUGUAUUGCAAGUACCCUGCGAAUAAGCAUCGGCUAACUCCGUGCCAGCAGCUGC
rnacentral:rRNA from 1 species